rnacentral:rRNA from 1 species
AGAGUUUGAUCCUGGCUCAGAACGAACGCUCGCGGCGUGGAUUAGGCAUGCAAGUCGAACGAGAAAGUUCCCUUCGGGGAGCGAGUAAAGUGGCGAACGGGUGAGUAAUGCAUGAACGACCUACCUACAUGACGAGGAUAACUGCUCGAAAGAACAGCUAAUACUCGAUGUGAUCUCUGGUCUACGGACUUUUGAUUAAAGAUGGCCUCUGUUUCAAGCUGUCGCAUGUUGAGGGGUUCAUGUGCUAUUAGAUUGUUGGUGGGGUAACGGCCUACCAAGUCUAUGAUGGCUAGCCGGCCUGAGAGGGUGUCCGGCCACACUGGGACUGAGACACUGCCCAGACUCCUACGGGAGGCUGCAGUCGAGAAUCAUACACUAAUGCGCGAAAGCGUGAUGUUGCGACGCCGCGUGGGGGAUGAAGGCCUUAGGGUCGUAAACUCCUGUCAUUUGGAGCUAAAACCGUAGAGUUAAUAACUCUUGCGCUUGAAGUGCCAUAAGAGGAAGCACCGGCUAAAUUCGUGCCAGCAGCCGCGGUAAUACGAAUGGUGCAAGCGUUGUUCGGAAUCACUGGGCAUAAAGCGCGCGUAGGCGGCGAUAUAAGUCAGUUGUGAAAUCCCCCGGCUCAACCGAGGAACUGCAACUGAAACUGUAUUGCUAGAGUGUGGGAGGGGAGAACGGAAUUCCUGGUGGAGCGGUGAAAUGCAUAGAUAUCAGGAGGAACGCCGGAGGCGAAAGCGGUUCUCUGGCCCACUACUGACGCUGAGGUGCGAAAGCUAGGGGAGCAAACAGGAUUAGAUACCCUGGUAGUCCUAGCCGUAAACGAUGGGUACUAAGUAGAGGGACUCCCAAGGUCUCUCUGCCGGAGCUAAUGUGUUAAGUACCCCGCCUGGGGAGUAUGGUCGCAAGGCUAAAACUCAAAGGAAUUGACGGGGGCUCACACAAGCGGUGGAGCAUGUUGUUUAAUUCGAUGCAACGCGAAGAACCUUACCUGGGCUUGACAUGUAUGUGGUAUCAAACCGAAAGGGGCGAGACCUACUUUGUAGGAGCAUACACAGGUAUUGCACGGCUGUCGUCAGCUCGUGUCGUGAGAUGUUGGGUUAAGUCCCGUAACGAGCGCAACCCCUAUUGUUAGUUGCUAACAGGUAAUGCUGAGGACUCUAGCGAGACUGCCGGUGUUAAACCGGAGGAAGGCGGGGACGACGUCAAGUCAUCAUGGUCCUUACGCCCAGGGCUACAAACGUGCUACAAUGGCAGGUACAAAGGGAAGCAAGAUCGUGAGAUGGAGCAAACCCCAAAAAGCCUGCCCCAGUUCGGAUUGGAGGCUGAAACUCGCCUCCAUGAAGUUGGAAUCGCUAGUAAUCGCAGAUCAGCCAUGCUGCGGUGAAUGUGUUCCUGAGCCUUGUACACACCGCCCGUCAAGCCACCCAAAUUGGUCGCACCCGUAGUCACAGACCCAACCCUCACGGGAGGGAUGCGCCGAAGGUGAGGUUCGUGAGGGGGACUAAGUCGUAACAAGGUA